AACGCUUCUUUCCUCCCGAGUGCUUGCACUCAAUUGGAAAGAGGAGUGGCGGACGGGUGAGUAACACGUGGGUAACCUACCCAUCAGAGGGGGAUAACACUUGGAAACAGGUGCUAAUACCGCAUAACAGUUUAUGCCGCAUGGCAUAAGAGUGAAAGGCGCUUUCGGGUGUCGCUGAUGGAUGGACCCGCGGUGCAUUAGCUAGUUGGUGAGGUAACGGCUCACCAAGGCCACGAUGCAUAGCCGACCUGAGAGGGUGAUCGGCCACACUGGGACUGAGACACGGCCCAGACUCCUACGGGAGGCAGCAGUAGGGAAUCUUCGGCAAUGGACGAAAGUCUGACCGAGCAACGCCGCGUGAGUGAAGAAGGUUUUCGGAUCGUAAAACUCUGUUGUUAGAGAAGAACAAGGACGUUAGUAACUGAACGUCCCCUGACGGUAUCUAACCAGAAAGCCACGGCUAACUACGUGCCAGCAGCCGCGGUAAUACGUAGGUGGCAAGCGUUGUCCGGAUUUAUUGGGCGUAAAGCGAGCGCAGGCGGUUUCUUAAGUCUGAUGUGAAAGCCCCCGGCUCAACCGGGGAGGGUCAUUGGAAACUGGGAGACUUGAGUGCAGAAGAGGAGAGUGGAAUUCCAUGUGUAGCGGUGAAAUGCGUAGAUAUAUGGAGGAACACCAGUGGCGAAGGCGGCUCUCUGGCCUGUAACUG
rnacentral:rRNA from 1 species